rnacentral:sRNA from 1 species
CCCUCCUUUCAGGUUUGAUUUCAACUGCGCUCAAGGCUGUGAGCAAUGCGAGGAUGACUGCAACAAAUUUAAUGGUUCCUGUACCAUUUGUAAAGAACAUUUCAAGGACCCGCUACAUUGGUGUCGAGAAGUUUGUGGGCUUAAUGAGACUGGAAUUAACUGUGAAAUCAACUGCUACAAGAAGUGUGGGGAGGACUGCAAUGAUCCAAUCAAAGGAAUAUGCGCAAUUCAUGGUGGCUGGGCUGAAUGGGAAGAAUGGCAUUGUACACCCCGCUGUAAAAAUUCCAGGGAAAUAAGACUGAGAGGCUGUACGAAACCCAAGCCCGAAUUUGGUGGCCACAGAUGUUUUGGAGACUUCUUUGAGAGUAGAAAGGCCAGAUGUUACCAGGGAGUUACCUGCU